rnacentral:rRNA from 1 species
AGAGUUUGAUCAUGGCUCAGAUUGAACGCUGGCGGCAGGCCUAACACAUGCAAGCCGAGCGGUAGAGAGAAGCUUGCUUCUCUUGAGAGCGGCGGACGGGUGAGUAAUGCCUAGGAAUCUGCCUGGUAGUGGGGGAUAACGUUCGGAAACGGACGCUAAUACCGCAUACGUCCUACGGGAGAAAGCAGGGGACCUUCGGGCCUUGCGCUAUCAGAUGAGCCUAGGUCGGAUUAGCUAGUUGGUGGGGUAAUGGCUCACCAAGGCGACGAUCCGUAACUGGUCUGAGAGGAUGAUCAGUCACACUGGAACUGAGACACGGUCCAGACUCCUACGGGAGGCAGCAGUGGGGAAUAUUGGACAAUGGGCGAAAGCCUGAUCCAGCCAUGCCGCGUGUGUGAAGAAGGUCUUCGGAUUGUAAAGCACUUUAAGUUGGGAGGAAGGGCCAUUACCUAAUACGUGAUGGUUUUGACGUUACCGACAGAAUAAGCACCGGCUAACUCUGUGCCAGCAGCCGCGGUAAUACAGAGGGUGCAAGCGUUAAUCGGAAUUACUGGGCGUAAAGCGCGCGUAGGUGGUUUGUUAAGUUGGAUGUGAAAUCCCCGGGCUCAACCUGGGAACUGCAUUCAAAACUGACUGACUAGAGUAUGGUAAAGGGUGGUGGAAUUUCCUGUAGCGGUGAAAUGCGUAGAUAUAGGAAGGAACACCAGUGGCGAAGGCGACCACCUGGACUGAUACUGACACUGAGGUGCGAAAGCGUGGGGAGCAAACAGGAUUAGAUACCCUAGUAGUCC